rnacentral:tRNA from 1 species
GCCCCCGUAGCUCAGUGGAUAGAGCGACGGUUUCCUAAACCGCAGGUCAGCCGUUCGAGUCGGCUCGGGGCGCCA